UUAGUCAAUGCUCGCAAGAGUGAACUAGCUAACUGAAAUUACAUGAUCCAUUAUGUAUGGUGAAUGUAAUAACGUAAGGGAAAAAAAUGAUAUUACCUUACUAUUAGUGUUGUCCAAAACUGGUGCCAGAAGACUCGGUAAGGCCAGAAACGCGAACGUUAGUCGUCUUAAUCAGGCGUAAAGGGUAUGUAGGCUGCUUUAAAAGUUAUAUAUUUAAGACAAAUAUAAAUGAAUUAAAGCUAGAAUCAAAUUGAGGAUAAUUAAAAUAAUACUUAGUGUAGGGUUUGAAUCUGGUGAUACUAGGGGGAAUACUAACGGUGAAAGCUUUUUAUCUAGAAAUGAUUGACGCUGAGAAACGAAGGUGAGAAUAGGAAAUAGGAUUAGAUACCCAGAUACCUCUCACAGUCAACGAUGAAUGGUGGUUGUUAGUUAGUUUAAUUUAACUGAUAACGAUGUUAACACGAUAACCAUUCCGCCUUGCGAGUACGGUUGCAAAACUGAAACCAAAAAAAUUAGUCGUCUCGAA
rnacentral:rRNA from 1 species